CGGGACACGUGGUAUCCUGUCUGAAUAUGGGGGGACCAUCCUCCAAGGCUAAAUACUCCUGACUGACCGAUAGUGAACCAGUACCGUGAGGGAAAGGCGAAAAGAACCCCGGCGAGGGGAGUGAAAAAGAACCUGAAACCGUGUACGUACAAGCAGUGGGAGCACAGAGCAAUCUGUGUGACUGCGUACCUUUUGUAUAAUGGGUCAGCGACUUAUAUUCUGUAGCAAGGUUAACCGAAUAGGGGAGCCGAAGGGAAACCGAGUCUUAACUGGGCGUUAAGUUGCAGGGUAUAGACCCGAAACCCGGUGAUCUAGCCAUGGGCAGGUUGAAGGUUGGGUAACACUAACUGGAGGACCGAACCGACUAAUGUUGAAAAAUUAGCGGAUGACUUGUGGCUGGGGGUGAAAGGCCAAUCAAACCGGGAGAUAGCUGGUUCUCCCCGAAAGCUAUUUAGGUAGCGCCUCGUGAAUUCAUCUCCGGGGGUAGAGCACUGUUUCGGCAAGGGGGUCAUCCCGACUUACCAACCCGAUGCAAACUGCGAAUACCGGAGAAUGUUAUCACGGGAGACACACGGCGGGUGCUAACGUCCGUCGUGAAGAGGGAAACAACCCAGACCGCCAGCUAAGGUCCCAAAGUCAUGGUUAAGUGGGAAACGAUGUGGGAAGGCCCAGACAGCCAGGAUGUUGGCUUAGAAGCAGCCAUCAUUUAAAGAAAGCGUAAUAGCUCACUGGUCGAGUCGGCCUGCGCGGAAGAUGUAACGGGGCUAAACCAUGCACCGAAGCUGCGGCAGCGACACUAUGUGUUGUUGGGUAGGGGAGCGUUCUGUAAGCCUGUGAAGGUGUACUGUGAGGUAUGCUGGAGGUAUCAGAAGUGCGAAUGCUGACAUAAGUAACGAUAAAGCGGGUGAAAAGCCCGCUCGCCGGAAGACCAAGGGUUCCUGUCCAACGUUAAUCGGGGCAGGGUGAGUCGACCCCUAAGGCGAGGCCGAAAGGCGUAGUCGAUGGGAAACAGGUUAAUAUUCCUGUACUUGGUGUUACUGCGAAGGGGGGACGGAGAAGGCUAUGUUGGCCGGGCGACGGUUGUCCCGGUUUAAGCGUGUAGGCUGGUUUUCCAGGCAAAUCCGGAAAAUCAAGGCUGAGGCGUGAUGACGAGGCACUACGGUGCUGAAGCAACAAAUGCCCUGCUUCCAGGAAAAGCCUCUAAGCAUCAGGUAACAUCAAAUCGUACCCCAAACCGACACAGGUGGUCAGGUAGAGAAUACCAAGGCGCUUGAGAGAACUCGGGUGAAGGAACUAGGCAAAAUGGUGCCGUAACUUCGGGAGAAGGCACGCUGAUAUGUAGGUGAAGCGACUUGCUCGUGGAGCUGAAAUCAGUCGAAGAUACCAGCUGGCUGCAACUGUUUAUUAAAAACACAGCACUGUGCAAACACGAAAGUGGACGUAUACGGUGUGACGCCUGCCCGGUGCCGGAAGGUUAAUUGAUGGGGUUAGCGGUAACGCGAAGCUCUUGAUCGAAGCCCCGGUAAACGGCGGCCGUAACUAUAACGGUCCUAAGGUAGCGAAAUUCCUUGUCGGGUAAGUUCCGACCUGCACGAAUGGCGUAAUGAUGGCCAGGCUGUCUCCACCCGAGACUCAGUGAAAUUGAACUCGCUGUGAAGAUGCAGUGUACCCGCGGCAAGACGGAAAGACCCCGUGAACCUUUACUAUAGCUUGACACUGAACAUUGAGCCUUGAUGUGUAGGAUAGGUGGGAGGCUUAGAAGUGUGGACGCCAGUCUGCAUGGAGCCGACCUUGAAAUACCACCCUUUAAUGUUUGAUGUUCUAACGUUGGCCCCUGAUCGGGGUUGCGGACAGUGUCUGGUGGGUAGUUUGACUGGGGCGGUCUCCUCCUAAAGAGUAACGGAGGAGCACGAAGGUUGGCUAAUCCUGGUCGGACAUCAGGAGGUUAGUGCAAUGGCAUAAGCCAGCUUGACUGCGAGCGUGACGGCGCGAGCAGGUGCGAAAGCAGGUCAUAGUGAUCCGGUGGUUCUGAAUGGAAGGGCCAUCGCUCAACGGAUAAAAGGUACUCCGGGGAUAACAGGCUGAUACCGCCCAAGAGUUCAUAUCGACGGCGGUGUUUGGCACCUCGAUGUCGGCUCAUCACAUCCUGGGGCUGAAGUAGGUCCCAAGGGUAUGGCUGUUCGCCAUUUAAAGUGGUACGCGAGCUGGGUUUAGAACGUCGUGAGACAGUUCGGUCCCUAUCUGCCGUGGGCGCUGGAGAACUGAGGGGGGCUGCUCCUAGUACGAGAGGACCGGAGUGGACGCAUCACUGGUGUUCGGGUUGUCAUGCCAAUGGCACUGCCCGGUAGCUAAAUGCGGAAGAGAUAAGUGCUGAAAGCAUCUAAGCACGAAACUUGCCCCGAGAUGAGUUCUCCCUGACUCCUUGAGAGUCCUGAAGGAACGUUGAAGACGACGACGUUGAUAGGCCGGGUGUGUAAGCGCAGCGAUGCGUUGAGCUAACCGGUACUAAUGAACCGUGAGGCUUAACCUUACAACGCCGAAGCUGUU
rnacentral:rRNA from 1 species